rnacentral:lncRNA from 1 species
GGGCCCCCGAGGAGACGGCUGGCAGAUCCCAGCAGACUCACAUGGCUUCCACGCAGCUCAGCCUUGCUGGGGACAGGGCUGGUAUCAACUUCUCCUGUCAUUUCAACAGCAGGAUCCAGCUGCAUUUGGAGCUAACUGCAUCUCAUUUGUUUACAAGGUUCUGCAUCUCAUCUGGCAGAGACUGUCCUGGAGACGUGAACACCCCGCUGUGAAUGUCCUGCCUGUUGGAGGAUGCUGUGCCACAUAGCCCUCUCUCCUUCCACUGAGACUGCUCUUGCUAAUGGAACCCCCAGGGUGAGAGCCUGGCGCCCGGGGUGUUUCCAUUCUUGCUCUUCCAGCAGAAGAAGAACACAAGCUGCCUUUUUCCUGGACCAUCUGGGGGGCAGACAACGGAAACCCACUUCCUAAACUGACGGUGAAGCUCCUAAAAAACUGAGCAAGAGACCCAGGUGGAGGCCGGAACAAAGCCCCAGGGUCAUCAGAAGAGCAUUUUGUCAUCCAACAACGACAAGAAGCCUUGUAAUGCUGUGUCACCAGUGUACACCAAGCACCUAGAACAGUGUCAGGAACACGGUAAAUGCUCAACAAACGUUUGCUGAAUGAAUGUUCAAGAUCUGGUGAGGAAAGCAAGAGGAGUUGAAAGGAAGAUCUUACUUGCCUCUUAUGUCUCCCUUGGUUGG